UCGAAAGGUACCGUCAAACCCCGAUAAAUCGGGGAUAUUCUUCCCUAACAAAAGCAGUUUACGACCCAUAGGGCUGUCAUCCUGCACGCGGGAUGGCUGGAUCAGGCUUUCGCCCAUUGUCCAAUAUUCCUUA
rnacentral:rRNA from 1 species